UACGUAGGGGGCAAGCGUUAUCCGGAUUUACUGGGUGUAAAGGGAGCGCAGGCGGUCCUGCAAGUCUGAUGUGAAAGCCCGGGGCUCAACCCCGGGACUGCAUUGGAAACUGUGGGACUUGAGUGUCGGAGGGGCAAGUGGAAUUCCUAGUGUAGCGGUGAAAUGCGUAGAUAUUAGGAGGAACACCAGUGGCGAAGGCGGCUUGCUGGACGACAACUGACGCUGAGGCUCGAAAGCGUGGGGAGCAAACAGG
rnacentral:rRNA from 1 species